GCGCUGAAAUAGUGAAGAGAGGAGAGAAGAGAGAAAACCUAACUCUCUUUGAUCUUCAAAUCACCAUAACUUGAGCUACGGAGCUCCGAUUGACGAGCCGUUUGCGGCCACGCGUCGCUCUUCUCAUCCUCUACAAUUUUAUCUAAGUUUUGUGGGAUACUCCAACAUAGAUUCUAAGUGGGUUCUAUCCCUACUUCAUAUGGGCUGAGUGUAUUUGGUGAUUUUGAUGCACAAUUGGGAGGUUGGUAUUGCUUGUGGAGCUUUGGUGAGGCUUGGAGCUAAGGCUUGGUGAAGACUUCCAUAGAAGAGGCUCAAUUGAUUUGGCUACAAGAGAUACAGGUCCAGGUGCUCAGAAGUGAGCUGUGGUUCGUCUGAGAGCCGGCGAAGAUCUUUAUUUUCUCCACUUUGUGUUUUGCUUAGAAUCUCUCCACCUUUGUUUUGAAGAUAUUAUAUUAUGUG